AGAGUUUGAUCAUGGCUCAGAACGAACGCUGGCGGCNGGCCUAACACAUGCAAGUCGAACGAAGCCUUCGGGCUUAGUGGCGGACGGGUGAGUAACGCGUGGGAACGUGCCCUUCUCUACGGAAUAGUCCUGGGAAACUGGGUUUAAUACCGUAUACGCCCUUCGGGGGAAAGAAUUUCGGGGAAGGAUCGGCCCGCGUUGGAUUAGGUAGUUGGUGGGGUAAUGGCCUACCAAGCCGACGAUCCAUAGCUGGUUUGAGAGGAUGAUCAGCCACACUGGGACUGAGACACGGCCCAUACUCCUACNGGAGGCAGCAGUUGGGGAAUCUUAGACAAUGGGGGCAACCCUGAUCUAGCCAUGCCGCGUGAGUGACGAAGGCCCUANGGUCGUAAAGCUCUUUCNCCAGGGAUGAUAAUGACAGUACCUGGUAA
rnacentral:rRNA from 1 species